rnacentral:rRNA from 1 species
AUGCACACCAUCAGCCCCAUCUUCCAGUAUCUCUAUCACCUGGCUCAUGUCUACACUAAAUUAUUUUGUGCCAACUGCAUGCAACGCCGACUGCAUGCAACGCCAAACCAGUGGCAGAAAUUCGUGCCGGUGGUCCAGUUGCUGGCAAGGAUGCCGAGAGGGUCUGAGAGCUGUCCUUUGAAAGCCAGCAGGGCGGCAAGAUCAGUAUCGCUGCCAUUGCUCUUGCUUGGACCAGGAGAAGAAGAUGUGGGUACAGUGGACAGCAGAGUGAUCAAGAAGAGAAUGGGUAUGGAUAUGGAUGGAAAUCCAAGUGAGGCCAUGUAUGGGGCAGAGAUGCAAGUGCAUGCUUUGGCUUUGAGCUGA